rnacentral:misc_RNA from 1 species
GGAAGGAUCAUUAACAAAACAAUGAACUUUUAACAAACUGACCUAGCUGGCAACUUCGGUUGCUAUCAUUGAAUUUAAAAGAUUGAAACCGCAUAAUUGAAUUAUCUGGUUGAUAUUAAACUAAAUUUUCAACGAUGGAUGUCUAGGCUCCCAUAACGAUGAAGAACGCAGCAAAAAUGCGAUAUGCAGUGUGAAUUGCAGAACUACGAAUCAUCGGAUAUUUGAACGCAACUGGCACCGAUAGAAUCGGUAUAUUUGUUUCAGUGUGCCCAACCAAAUUUACAUCUAAAUGUGAGUGAAAUUCACUCAUGAAGUAAAUGCUCUAAACAGCAUUCACAUGUAUUUGUGAGCUGCCUUAGGGGAAAAUGUCUUUUUUGCACCUGAAAUCAAGUAAGAGGACCCGCUGGACUUAAGCAUAUUACUAAGCGGAGGAAAAGAAAUUAACAAAGAUUACCUUAGUAAGGGCGACUGAACCGGUAAAAGCUCGAAAUUGGAAUCGUACGUUCAAAGAAUUUACGAAUUGUAAUCAGGCUCGCCUAAAUACCAACGUUGACUCAAGUGCAUCGAAAGGCACGCCAGAGAGGGUGAAAGUCCCGUACAGUCUUCGUUUGAGUAAGGUGUGCCAAUCGAGAGUCGGGUAGCUUGGAACUGCUGCCCUAAGCGGGAGAUAUGAUUCUUCCAAAGCUAAAUAAGGAUGGGAGACCGAUAGCAAACAAGUACUGUGAAGGAAAGAUGAAAAGGACUUUGAAAAGAGAGUGAAAAGAUCUGAAAUCGUUGAGAAGAAAGCGGUAAAAACUGAUGGAUCUGCUGAUACGACGACGGGGUGAACAGCCCUGAAAUUGUUUCCAGAGGAGCGGGCAAAAUGAUGUUGUUAGGACUAAAAAAGGGUCAAACCGGACAGAGUUUUAGCAGCAUGAGGGACUACGGUGAUUUUGCCAAAAUGGUUUUUACCGUCCCGUCUUGAAACACGGACCAAGGAGUCUAACUUACAUGCGAGUGUGCGAGUGGAAAAACUCAUACGCGAAAUGAAAGUAAAAGGUGUGCAGCGCAAGCUUCAACAUCGACCGACCUAGGAAACAAGGUUUGAGUGAGAGCAUGCAGGUUAGGACCCGAAAGAUGGUGAACUAUGCCUGAGUAGGGUGAAGUCAGGGGAAACUCUGAUGGAGGCUCGUAGACGUUCUAACGUGCAAAUUGAUGUUAAAACUUGGGUAUAGGGGCGAAAGACUAAUCGAACCAUCUAGUAGCUGGUUCCCUC